GGGUUGUGAGGUUAAGCGACUAAGCGUACACGGUGGAUGCCCUGGCAGUCAGAGGCGAUGAAGGACGUGCUAAUCUGCGAUAAGCGCCGGUAAGGUGAUAUGAACCGUUAUAACCGGCGAUUUCCGAAUGGGGAAACCCAGUGUGACUCGUCACACUAUCAUUAACUGAAUCCAUAGGUUAAUGAGGCGAACCGGGGGAACUGAAACAUCUAAGUACCCCGAGGAAAAGAAAUCAACCGAGAUUCCCCCAGUAGCGGCGAGCGAACGGGGAGGAGCCCAGAGCCUGAAUCAGCAUGUGUGUUAGUGGAAGCGUCUGGAAAGGCGCGCGAUACAGGGUGACAGCCCCGUACACAAAAGCGCAC
rnacentral:rRNA from 1 species